CCCCUCUCAGGAUCACAACUGGUGAGUUUCCAGUACUCUACCAGUCUCGGCUACAGGAGGGAGAAUCAAGCAGAGGAAUAACCAUUCCAUUCCUAGAUUGGCCAAUGGCUAGCGAAUGGUAAGCAAUCUGCUACAAGU